rnacentral:snRNA from 1 species
AUACUUACCUGGCAGGGGAGAUACCAUGAUCAGGAAGGUGGUUUUCCCAGGGCCAGGCUUAUCCAUUGCACUCCGAUGUGCUGACCCCUGUGAUUUCCCCAAAUAUGGGAAACUCGACUGCAUAAAUUGUGGUAGUGGGGGACUGCGUUCACACUCNNNNN